rnacentral:misc_RNA from 1 species
GUAUAGGUUUAAUGACUGCGACUAGCACAAUCUUUAAUAGACAUUCUGUAACUUUAUAGUGUAUAUGAAAACAUAGCCUUGAAGAAAGCAAGCAGGGGAAGGGCUCGCGCCCAAGUCCCCCAAACCGCAUCGCUGCGAGAGGUUCACUUUUUCAAAGACUACAAAAGGUGCACAAGAGAAGAUAAAUAGAUGGAAACGAGCACAUGCUCAGUGAAGAGCCAGCAUCAGAAAUCCAGCGUAUUCAAUAAUGAUCCUUCCGCAGGUUCACCUACGGAAA